rnacentral:rRNA from 1 species
UGGGGAAUAUUGGGCAAUGGGCGAAAGCCUGACCCAGCAACGCCGCGUGAAGGAAGAAGGCUUUCGGGUUGUAAACUUCUUUUAUCAGGGACGAAGGAUGUGACGGUACCUGAUGAAUAAGCCACGGCUAACUACGUGCCAGCAGCCGCGGUAAUACGUAGGUGGCAAGCGUUGUCCGGAUUUACUGGGUGUAAAGGGCGCGCAGGCGGGAGAGCAAGUCAGAUGUGAAAUCUAUGGGCUUAACCCAUAAACUGCAUUUGAAACUGUUUUUCUUGAGUGAUGGAGAGGCAAGCGGAAUUCCUAGUGUAGCGGUGAAAUGCGUAGAUAUUAGGAGGAACACCAGUGGCGAAGGCGGCUUGCUGGACAUUAACUGACGCUGAGGCGCGAAAGCGUGGGGAGCAAACA